UGGAAGAAAGGUUAGCUGUCUUCGAGAA
rnacentral:piRNA from 1 species